UUUCAGAUCUCCAUGAGUGGCGGCGUGGCAACGAGUAGAACCUCACUUCAGGGGACGCAGCAACUGCAGCAACAAGCUCCAACAACGACAAAGGAGACUCACGUAAUUAGCGCGCUGGUGGCGGGAAUUGCGCUCUAGCCACUACAGUCGCUGUCUUCGUCUGGAGUUAUCAGGUUUGUCAAGAAAACUUCAGUCAGAGUGACCUGAUUCUUCAAAGCACAGCAGGUGACUGGAAAACAGGGAGAACUUUGACAUUGCCUCUACAAAAGCGAAGACUGAAAGAAAAUGCAGUGCCAUGUUUCCUGCCAAACUGUCCCAGUUAUUUAUGCUCAAGACGAGAUGUUUAACGAGAGCCCCCAAGUCAAAGAAGACAACGGCUAAAAGCAGAUGCCUUAAGUAAAGCUAUAUCUGAAAGUAUAGAAACAGCUUCUGCACAAAGGGAAAAUGACAGUUUUCAAGAUUAUAGUGAAUUUUUGAAAAAAAAGUGAGAAUGUUACAUUAAGUCAACGGUGGA